rnacentral:lncRNA from 1 species
CGGCAGGCAGCGACUGCACGACGAAGGGGAGGAGUCAUGUGAAGAAGGAGGGGAGGCGAUGAGAACAUGGAGGACUAACAAUGGGACUCUUCCUUGGCACUCAGCAACUCACGUGCUAGGGAAGACGACGAUAGGCGGCGGUCGCACGACAGCAUCAUGUGAGGAGAAGCGGAGGAGAGGAGUAGUGCGAAGGAGGGGAGGCGACGCUAGGACGACAUAGACUAGGAUUAGGCCUCUCAGCUCGUGAAAGAAAGGCCUGCCAUAUGUGUGGGCCAAAAUAAAGGCCCACCAACAUAACCAAGCUGGCGGCACCCACAAACUCAUCUAUUGCAACCAUGCAUUCCCCUAUAUUGCAACGACUAUAUAUUAUUGCAACAGCACCUCCUGUAUAGCAACGGUUUCAGUAUUUGUUGC